CUGCAUUCUUAAACCCCCUGGUUGUUCUUUUUCUAACUCCACAUCCAGGACAAGAAGGAAUGCUAAAUGAAAGCUACAGAGAAUUCCAAUGUGCUGAGCUUCACUUGUGCUUUUCACUAUUUCACGUCUCUGACAUGC